rnacentral:rRNA from 1 species
GAUUAACGCUAGCGGCAGGCCUAAUACAUGCAAGUCGAACGGCAGCACGGGUAGCAAUGCCUGGUGGCGAGUGGCGCACGGGUGCGUAACGCGUAUGCAAUCUACCUAUAACUGGGGAAUAGCCUUCCGAAAGGAAGAUUAAAACCGCAUAAUAUCACGAAGCGGCAUCGUUUUGUGAUCAAAUCUCCGGAGGUUAUAGAUGAGCAUGCGUGACAUUAGCUAGUUGGUGAGGUAACGGCUCACCAAGGCUACGAUGUCUAGGGGGUCUGAGAGGAUGAUCCCC